CAGAACCUAGCGAUCUCCUGCUUCGUCACGCUCUGUACACUACUAGUCGUUGCAGCUCGUUUAAUUGCCGCCUAUGAUCUUGGCAGCUGCGACGGUGGUGGUGGUGGUGGCGACGGAGGACUUAUCGGCAGCGGCCAUAAUCAUUGGGGUUGGUG